UACGGGGGGGGCAAGCGUUGUUCGGAAUUACUGGGCGUAAAGGGCUCGUAGGCGGCCAACUAAGUCGGACGUGAAAUCCCUCGGCUUAACCGGGGAACUGCGUCUGAUACUGGAUGGCUUGAGUUUGGGAGAGGGAUGCGGAAUUCCAGGUGUAGCGGUGAAAUGCGUAGAUAUCUGGAGGAACACCGGUGGCGAAGGCGGCAUCCUGGACCAACACUGACGCUGAGGAGCGAAAGCCAGGGGAGCAAACGGGG
rnacentral:rRNA from 1 species